AGAGAGAGAGAGACGGGGAGAUAGGGUGAUAGCCCAAAUGGUUCACGUCAUUCUCGCCCGUUACAACGCAGCCCACGCCGCCCCAGUCAAGCUGUUCUCAGCGCGCCUUCACCCUCGGCAAGGCCGCCCGACGUCCCGCCUACUCGUUCCGAAGGCUGGGGUUGUGCCCCGGCGUGGCCAUUCCCCGUGCACGAGCCUUGUCCAGUUCGUCUCCCACGGAGCGCUGAUACUUGGAGAACUAGGCCUGUCAGUCCAAGGAGGCACUGUUUCAGGACAUUAAGAUGGAGAUUUUCGGCUGGAGCAAAGAUUAUGGCCGAUAGUUUUCCUCUAACUUUGUUCUUUCUGAUUUAAAUUUUUUUCCCUUCUUGAUUGGGUUCUCUUAUGACAUUGUUCUCUCUCUCACGUUCUACAAUUGGGACACGUGGUGCAAUCCUUGAAGCAAAUGCAUGGGUACAUAAUGGGACUAUUUCAACAGCCUUAUGAGCUUGGAGAGGAAGACUAGUUCAGUUGAAGGUCUUAUUCGAGGAGUUCAUUGAUUCUUUCUUUGAUUAUUUUCUUAGUAAGAAAAAUUAUCAUGCGUUUUCCUCUCAUAAGGUACCCAUCGCUUAAUUUCCUUUGUUAUCCCUUAUUACGCAUUGAUUUAAUUGUGCUUUCAGGCGAGACAUAAAUACCUUCCUAAAAAAUGUACAACUUUAUUGUUAGGAUAUUAACAAUACUCGAUUUCAUAGUUACAACACCCCCUAUGAUAUAAACUCUACAAGUCUAUAUCAUUGACUAAAUUUAUAGGCUCCCUAGAAACCUAUUACAACCCAUACUUCAUAAGUCUAUUAUUUAUAGCUAGAUUUCGAGAUUCUCUAGAACCUAUAAAAUAUACUCCACAAGUCUUAUCUAUAAAAUAUACUCAAAUCUCUAGUGAUCUUUAAUGAUAUAAAAUAUUUAGCUCAAAUGUAUUGUCAUCUUUUUAUGAAGAACUUAGUGGAAAAAGAUGAGUGUGAUGAAGCUCUUUUACAUUCUAAGUAACAAGAGAUCUUUAUAGGUAGCAAAAGCUCGGUAUCAUGGCUAUAACAAUGCUUCAAGUUAGACAAAGUUUACUUUGGAGACUCUUGAAGGAUGAAGAUGAGGAUAGAUCUUGUCACUCUCUCUUUGACUUUGGAUGUUUCAAUUUUCAUUCGCAUGUCUUACUGUAAUUUUGACAAUUGGCCUCUUUUUAUCCUCAGCUUAUUUGAACAAACAAUUGGGUCAAUGGCAAGUUGAGCCGAUCUUAGUGGCCAGCACGUGUGCCC
rnacentral:lncRNA from 1 species